rnacentral:rRNA from 1 species
UACAGGGGGGGGCAAGCGUUGUUCGGAAUUAUUGGGCGUAAAGGGCUCGUAGGCGGUUUGUCGCGUCGGGAGUGAAAACCAGGUGCUUAACACCUGGCUUGCUUUCGAUACGGGCAGACUAGAGGUAUGCAGGGGAGAACGGAAUUCCUGGUGUAGCGGUGAAAUGCGCAGAUAUCAGGAGGAACACCGGUGGCGAAGGCGGUUCUCUGGGCAUGACCUGACGCUGAGGAGCGAAAGUGUGGGGAGCGAACAGG